rnacentral:piRNA from 1 species
UCCUAGUGUGACAUAGAGUAACUCUGCUUA